rnacentral:rRNA from 1 species
CAGCCGCCACGGGAAUACGUAGGGUGCAAGCGUUAAUCGGAAUUACUGGGCGUAAAGCGUGCGCAGGCGGUUAUAUAAGACAGAUGUGAAAUCCCCGGGCUCAACCUGGGAACUGCAUUUGUGACUGUAUAGCUAGAGUACGGCAGAGGGGGAUGGAAUUCCGCGUGUAGCAGUGAAAUGCGUAGAUAUGCGGAGGAACACCGAUGGCGAAGGCAAUCCCCUGGGCCUGUACUGACGCUCAUGCACGAAAGCGUGGGGAGCAAACAGGAUUAGAUACCCGCGUAGUCCCUGUCUCUUAUAA